GGUCCAAAUGUCCCAUCUCCGGUAGCCAUCAGAGUAAUGACCGGUGAUGCUAUGAUUGGACGCAGAGCAAUACUAUUCCCUUUCCACAUCAUAAGGAACUGUGGUUCCUAUUUCCUUUGGAUCCAUGGUGUUGAUUUUUGGGAUUACAUAU